GGUGCGGUAGCUCAGUGGUUAGAGCGGUCAACUCAGACUUGAUCGUUGAUCGCUGUAAGGGGCUCGGGUUCGAAUCCCGGGUGGUGUCA
rnacentral:tRNA from 1 species